rnacentral:rRNA from 1 species
GACGAACGCUGGCGGCGUGCUUAACACAUGCAAGUCGAACGCUGAAGCUCAGCUUGCUGGGUGGAUGAGUGGCGAACGGGUGAGUAACACGUGAGUAACCUGCCCCCUUCUUUGGGAUAACGCCCGGAAACGGGUGCUAAUACUGGAUAUUCACUGAUCUUCGCAUGGGGGUUGGUGGAAAGGUUUUUUCUGGUGGGGGAUGGGCUCGCGGCCUAUCAGCUUGUUGGUGGGGUGAUGGCCUACCAAGGCUUUGACGGGGAGCCGGCCUGAGAGGGUGACCGGUCACUUGGCGGCUGAGUUACGGCCCAGAUUCCUACGGGAGGCAGAAGAGAGGAAUAUGGCACAAUGGGGGAAAGCCUGAUGCAGCGACGCCGCGUGAGGGAUGGAGGCCUUCGGGUUGUAAACCUCUUUCGCUCAUGGUCAAGCCGCAACAUUGGUUGUGGUGAGGGUAGUGGGUAAAGAAGCGCCGGCUAACUACGUG